rnacentral:lncRNA from 1 species
UUUUAAAAAGAAAUUGUUUUAUUUGUUGUGAAGACUCUGAAAAAUUCUUUUAAAAAAUUAAAGUAGAACUUUUAGUUAAAAGGUAAAUACUAGUGUCAUGUUUUGAGGCUUUCUGUUUCUUGAUAAGUUAAUACAAGUUUUGAAACUUGGAUUUAAAAGUUAAAUUAAAUAUCACAAUUGUCAUGUUUUAAAAUCAGAAUUAUGUUGAAAUAGCUGUCAAACAUGGGAGUGUUUGUGAUAAAAAUAAUCCUUUCACAAGCUUGACUUUGACAAAUAUUUUAAGGGGAGGGUUAUUUGAUUUCAUGGGGUUGUUUUUCAAAGAGCAAAUCCAGAUUUGUCUCUUAAAGAAAACAAUCUAGGUUGGCAUAGUUUUUCUGUAGUUUCCUGUGGAAUGCACUUCAUUAGCAUUUAAUCAAUCCUGUCAGGCUGGGAUUAGAUCCUGCUCCUCAUAGCUGGACAGAAAAUUGGAAGAGAAACGUAGGUGUUAAUCUGCUGUCUCUACACUUGGAUAGUCUGUGCUUGGAUCAGUAUUAUGUGUAACACACUCUCUAAUGUUAAGGUCUUGAGUCUGCUGAGCAGCAAUUCAGGAGAACUGACUUGUGAUCCUUGUUCUGCCAUAGAGUGGUCAUCACAGUGAGGCAAAACCUGAGGAGAUGCCUGCUCUGCAGUGGGCUCUGGAGAUUUAGGGAGGAAAAAUGUUGCCACAAUUACCACAUUGCUUUGUAGUGUGUUGAUAAGUGAAUUUGGAAGGAAGAAAUCCAAUUUCUUUGCCAUCCCUACCACUGGCCUGUGCAAAAGUGCCCAGAGCAUUGCCGGGAGGAUCCAAGGCAUCUCUGUAGUGGGAAAGGUGUGUCCUGGCAAACUGGAGUGAGGUGAGAGUGGGAGCUGGAGGAAGAUGAGGGACUGAGACAGAGUUCUGCCUUUUCUUCUAUGGUUCUCAGCCUUACGCCCUCAGAUUUUGUGCCAUGUGAUACAAUGUACCUUUGUUUUGUAGCCCUUCCCAACACUAUAUGAUAUUUAACCUGCAGAUAUCAGUUUAUAUUAUUUAGAGAUAAAAUCCAAGGCCAAUAUGUGGACUUUGUCCCAAGCUACUAAGUUUCUUGAUUAUUUCCAUAGUCUGUGUUUAAGGCAGUUAUCUUCCUGGUAAGUAGCAUGCCUUUGGAAAGAAAUAUUUUACGUGUGAUAGUUACCCAGUUAAGAUUAGGUACCUUGCCCUUACCAAUUUAUUAUAGAUUGCCAUUGUAUACCCUGAUUUUUAAGAGUUGUGAAACUUUUUAUCUUUGUUGUUAUUUACUUCACACUAAAAUACAAUAGAAAGACCAGGAAGAAAGAAAACAAAUCUAAGAAGUCCAAAGAUACUACAAGGUCUUUUUUAUAGAAUUUGUUAGAUUCUAACUUCUAAGUGAAAGCAUCACUCUGCUUUCUUUUGAGCUGAUGUCCAUAGUUCUAGCAAACAAUGUUCUUUCUUUGUCUAGCGAGAUAAGAUGUGCAGCAUCUUAUCUCACCAGACAAAGAAGAAAGAAUUUGUGAACUAUCCAUGUUCAGUUGCUGAAAUGUUAAUCUGCCAGGUGCUGGUUUCUGAAUGCGAGGCCAUUGGUUAGUAAUUAUGUUCAGAAAGCUCUGGUGAGUAGGAUGGCAUCUCUUCCUAAGGAGACCUCAGACCCUUAGCUGUGCCUGCCUGUCAGAUGAGAAGCCCAGCUAUGAAUCAGACUGAGCACUCAAGGAUCCACACAUUAUUGUCACCUCAUCAUCAUGGGUUUCCAAGUCUCUGGAAAUGUGGGAUGUAAAAACCAUUCAGCAACCAUUCGAUCAGUGCAAUUUUCUGAAAGCAUUGCUAGCAGAGCAAAGGGGGAUGAGGAGAAAGAAGGAAGUCCCUGAGAAAAAGCAAAGUCAGGGAAGUAGUAAAUAUGCACUCCGGCGGCUUCCAUACAGAAUAAGCAAAGCCUGAUGUCAAUCAGGCUCUAAUCAAUCCUGAGUGAUAGUCUUGUGAGUUGGUCUUGCGAUGUACAGGCUACUGAGUCAUUAUACCCCUAGUAAACUCACAAAAUUGGCACAUCUCUCUUUUUGUUAAAUACAAAACAUUUCAAACUAAUGUAAAAUCAAAACAUUAGAAUAAUUUAUGAAUCAAAUUGGCUUGGGAUGAGAAAUGGUGGAAUGCUACAUUAUGUUGUUCUAUUUUGGAAUUCCUUAUAGAAAUUAGGUUAGAGUUUAUCAGUGGAAGUCCCUUGAUAUUAAGACUUCAUUUUCUCAUCUGUUAAAAGCAGUAACAAGUCAUUUUUUUUGAAAAAAAAUUAUUUUCCAACAGAAAUUGGUUUUCUUCUUUCACACUUUGCUCUCCUGUUUUCUUCACAAACACAAAAGCCUAGGAUUAUAUUAGCUCAUAAAAUCUAUGACUGGUCGGGCGUGGUGGCGCAUGCCUUUAAUCCCAGCACUCGGGAGGCAGAGGCAGGGGCAGAUUUCUGAGUUCGAGGCCAGCCUGGUCUACAGAGUGAGUUCCAGGACAGCCAGGGCUAUACAGAGAAACCCUGUCUC